rnacentral:sRNA from 1 species
CCACCAAGUUAUGGACGGUGGAAGUCUCUGCCGUGACUGGGGGAUUAGCUCAGCUGGGAGAGCACCUGCUUUGCAAGCAGGGGGUCGUCGGUUCGAUCCCGUCAUCCUCCACCAAUACCUUGUGGUUGCCAAACGCAAGCAUCGAGUUUUCGGUGUUUGCGUUUGGCAUUGCCAAGACGAGUAAUAACUCGGCUGUUCUUUAACAAUAUGGAAUGUAGUAAAGGUGUCGCGGAGCAUUGAUGAGAUGCUCGCAAAAACGCGACAUUGGGUUGUGAUUGUAUCAACCAGUAUUACGAGUGAUCGAAAGACCGCUUGGAAUACGGCACAACGCGAGAACUCAGCCUAUAUCGAGACAUACUCGUUAUAGGGUCAAGCGAAUAAGUGCAUGUGGUGGAUGCCUUGGCGAUCACAGGCGAUGAAGGACGCAGUAGCUUGCGAAAAGCUGCGGGGAGCUGGCAAACGAGCUUUGAUCCGCAGAUGUCCGAAUGGGGAAACCCGGCCCGAAUGGGUCAUCUGUUACUGAAUUCAUAGGUAACAGAGGCGAACGCAGUGAACUGAAACAUCUAAGUAGCUGCAGGAAAAGAAAUCAACCGAGAUUCCCAAAGUAGUGGCGAGCGAAAUGGGAUCAGCCUUGUACUCUUUAGCAGUAUUGUUAGCAAAACGGAAUGGAAAGUCCGGCCAUAGUGGGUGAUAGCCCCGUAUGCGAAAACAGUAUUGUGGAACUAGGUGUACGACAAGUAGGGCGGGACACGUGAAAUCCUGUCUGAAGAUGGGGGGACCAUCCUCCAAGGCUAAAUACUCGUGAUCGACCGAUAGUGAACCAGUACCGUGAGGGAAAGGCGAAAAGAACCCCGGGAGGGGAGUGAAAUAGAUCCUGAAACCGCAUGCAUACAAACAGUCGGAGCCUGGAAACGGGUGACGGCGUACCUUUUGUAUAAUGGGUCAGCGACUUACAUUCAGUGGCAAGCUUAACCGAUUAGGGAAGGCGUAGCGAAAGCGAGUCCGAAUAGGGCGUUCAGUCGCUGGGUGUAGACCCGAAACCAAGUGAUCUAUCCAUGGCCAGGUUGAAGGUGCGGUAACACGUACUGGAGGACCGAACCCACUAACGUUGAAAAGUUAGGGGAUGAGCUGUGGAUAGGGGUGAAAGGCUAAACAAACUUGGAAAUAGCUGGUUCUCUCCGAAAACUAUUUAGGUAGUGCCUCGUGUCUCACCUUCGGGGGUAGAGCACUGUCAUGGUUGGGGGGUCUAUUGCUGAUUACCCCGCCAUAGCAAACUCCGAAU